GACGAACCGUGCGAACGUUGUUCGGAUUCACUGGGCUUAAAGGGCGCGUAGGCGGGCGGUCAAGUCAGGGGUGAAAUCUUUCGGCUCAACCGGAAAAGUGCCUUUGAUACUGGCCGUCUCGAGGGAGGUAGGGGCAUGCGGAACUUCCGGUGGAGCGGUGAAAUGCGUAGAUAUCAGGAGGAACACCGGUGGCGAAGGCGGGUCUCUGGGCCGAUACUGACGCUGAGGAGCGAAAGCGUGGGGAGCGAACAGG
rnacentral:rRNA from 1 species